CAAGGUUUGAGGGGUGGCCACAGCCAGAGGCUCUGGACCUGAGGUGGGGCCUGUGUCUUGCAGAGGCAGAGGUGCUGUCAUAGCGGAGUCCUGGGGUAAGGUGAGGCCCUCUUCAGCCUGCUGGGACACAGGCGUGGCUGCAGCCACAGGCUUUGGGGCUGACGAGAGAUCUGUGUCUUGUAGGGGCAGAGGCGGUGUCAUAGCGGAGUCCUGGGGUAAGGUGAGGCCCUCUUCAGCCUGCUGGGACACAAUCGUGGCUGCAGCCACAGGCUUUGGGGCUGACGAGAGAUCUGUGUCUUGUAGGGGCAGAGGCGGUGUCAUAGCGGAGUCCUGGGGUAAGGUGAGGCCCUCUUCAGCCUGCUGGGACACAAUCGUGGCUGCAGCCACAGGCUUUGGGGCUGACGAGAGAUCUGUGUCUUGUAGGGGCAGAGGCGGUGUCAUAGCGGAGUCCUGGGGUAAGGUGAGGCCCUCUUCAGCCUGCUGGGACACAAGCGUGGCUGCAGCCACAGGCUUUGGGGCUGACGAGAGAUCUGUGUCUUGUAGGGGCAGAGGCGGUGUCAUAGCGGAGUCCUGGGGUAAGGUGAGGCCCUCUUCAGCCUGCUGGGACACAAGCGUGGCUGCAGCCACAGGCUUUGGGGCUGACGAGAGAUCUGUGUCUUGUAGGGGCAGAGGCGGUGUCAUAGCGGAGUCCUGGGGUAAGGUGAGGCCCUCUUCAGCCUGCUGGGACACAAGCGUGGCUGCAGCCACAGGCUUUGGGGCUGACGAGAGUUCUGUGUCUUGUAGGGGCAGAGGCGGUGUCAUAACGGAGUCCUGGGGUAAGGUGAGGUCCUCUUUAGCCUGCCUGGGGACAAUCGUGGCUGCAGCUACAGGCUUUCUGCCAGAGGGGAGGUCCAGCCCUCCUUCUUCCUUCAAGUUCUGAG
rnacentral:lncRNA from 1 species